GAUGCAGCGACGCCGCGUGAGCGAAGAAGUAUUCGGUAUGUAAAGCUCUAUCAGCAGGGAAGAUAAUGACGGUACCUGACUAAGAAGCCCCGGCUAACUACGUGCC
rnacentral:rRNA from 1 species